rnacentral:lncRNA from 1 species
GGAAAGGAAAACAACGACUAAGAAAAUAUAUGGAGAACAAAAAUGACCGACGUUAAAGGGAGUGGAUAUUCUAACAUAAAAUUAACAAGUGGUGAAAUUCUGGCCAAAGACAAGAGGAUGAAAUGACAGCAGACUUCUCACGAGUGCAGAUGACUGAAGGGAUGUGAGUUAAGACUGUGAUCUGUUUGCCAUACGCAUGCAAGUGGGACCAGGAACCGUGGAAGUUCUACGUAAGUUGUACAUCUGAAGGAGCCAUUUCACUUCUGGGUGCCACUGUUGCAAGCUGACAGGCACACUGGAUAAUAAUGAGGUGGGACACUCAGAGCUGAUCCACACUGUGACACAGA